rnacentral:snoRNA from 1 species
GCUCUCUCGAUUUCUUACCGCUUGGACCUAAAUAUUGGUCUGAGUGGCAAAAGGAGGAAAAAUGAAAUGGAAAUGGACUUAGUCUUUAAUGACACACAAGUUAAUCUCAAACAUAU